UACGGAGGAUCCAAGCGUUAUCCGGAAUCAUUGGGUUUAAAGGGUCCGUAGGUGGAUAAUUAAGUCAGAGGUGAAAUCCUGCAGCUCAACUGUAGAAUUGCCUUUGAUACUGGUUAUCUUGAAUUAUUAUGAAGUAGUUAGAAUAUGUAGUGUAGCGGUGAAAUGCAUAGAUAUUACAUAGAAUACCAAUUGCGAAGGCAGAUUACUAAUAAUAUAUUGACACUGAUGGACGAAAGCGUGGGGAGCGAACAGG
rnacentral:rRNA from 1 species